ACUUGAUAUACACACCUCGACACCUCCUUUCCGGUUUGAGGUUUCCGAAAUUCCGAACUUUCCGUCCGUUGUUUUCUUAGAUGCUUUGAUCAUUUUAAUUGUGCUUGUACCAUUUCCAUUAUCAUUGUGGUCAACUUAAUUAUUUGUGGAAACAAGAGGACCUUUUUGGCUGAGGAAUAGCCUAGGCUGAGAAAUCUUCUUUCUAAAUAAAAGCCGAAAGUAAAAGAAAUAAAGUUUACUGCGUACGGCCAUCCAAGAGCGAAUGGACGCUGAAUGAAGGAAGAAUAUCGAUAGAUUUCUGAAGAGAGAAAGGAAAUAGGAUUUAAGUAGAUGACGAAGAAGACAAUGAAGAAAGCUCUCAAGUGCAAUUUGAAGUUUUGUUGGUGCGGUGAUAUUAUGUUGGAUAGUUUUAGGCUCGCUGACAUUGAUGGGUCGUACAAUCAGUGUGUCAUUCCUUCAGAAUGGCAUUUACUGACAAGUUUGUUCAAAAUGGUCCACUCACUCUAAAAAUUUUAAUAUCCAUGUACACGCUAAAGUCAAUGAGAAGCUUUACCAGUAUACAGUCUGUACACGAAGUUUCACUUGAUUGUGUAGUUUGGAUACGAUGUGCGUACACAUACCAACCAAUCUUGGACCUUAUCAGUUGCCGUUUCACCUAAUAUGUUCAAUAGAGACUGAAAGACCUUUUUCCGUCUAAGGCCCGGUUGCACAAAAGCCGUUUAAAUUUUAAUCGUGAUUAAUUUCACGAGAACCAAUCAGAGAUGGUUUUCCAAAAAGAAUGUUAUGAUUGGUUCUCGUGAAAUUAAUCACGAUUAAAAUUUAACCGGCACCAAGGCUAUUGGUAUUAGUACGCACAUGUCUAUCCAAAUUUUGAAAUUGAGAGAAACUUUUUGUACAGACUGUACACUGGUAAGGCUUCUCUUUGGUUUGAGUGCGCAUGUAGAUAUUCAAAUUUUUAGAGUGAGUGGACCUUUUUGAACAAACUGUACACUGGUAGAGUACUCAUUAUUUGAGUGUUCAUUUAAGUUUAAUGCACAUUAUAAUGUGUAAUGUUUAUGUAUAAUAAUAAUUUAAUAAAAGUUUAAUGUAUAAUGCACAUUAGUUUUUGAUUGAAAUUUAAAACUCAAUUUCUGACAAUAAAUGUAUAUCUAAUUAUUGUAGAUGGAAUUUGAACUCGUCAAAAUGUACGAUUGUUCUAAAAAUGUAAAUGCAAAUCAACUUUGUAAAUAAAACUAAACAACAUAAUUA